rnacentral:lncRNA from 1 species
UGAUGAGUCCAGGCCCCGGUCCAUUCUCCUCGCGCUGCAAGGAUGCUCCUGGGAUUUCGGAGAGGCCGCAGGAGUCAUUUCGGUCUCGCUCUGUCGCCCAGGCUAGAGUGCAGUGGUGCGAUCAUAGCUCACUGCAUCCUCGAACUCCUGGGCUCAAGCGAUCUUCCCACCCCAGCCUCCCGAGGAGCUGAGACUACAGGCGCGCGCCACUACUCCCGGCUAAUUGUUCAAUAUUUUUGUGGAAACAGGGAUCUUGCUAUGUUCCUAUGGUGGUCUUGAGCUCCUUAGCCUCCUAAAGUGUUGGUAUCACAGGCGUGAGCCACUGUGCCCGGCGUUAACAAUCUUCUGCCCCAGGGUCGGCCACAGUUGGACAGGAGCACCCUGCCUCCCCUGUAGCAUUCGUCCCCGUGCCCGGAGUUAACUCCUGGACGACGUACACCUGCUGCACUGCUGGAUAUAGCCAUUCUUCAUUUUUCCCUCCUCCACCCACCAUGUACACCCCAUCAGCAAGUCCCAUCCGAUAUACCCACUACAUACAUCUGCCAGCUGUUCCCAUCU